rnacentral:rRNA from 1 species
GGGUGGAUCAGUGGCGAACGGGUGAGUAACACGUGAGCAACCUGCCCCUGACUCUGGGAUAAGCGCUGGAAACGGCGUCUAAUACUGGAUACGAGCAAGAACCGCAUGGUUACUUGUUGGAAAGAUUUUUUGGUUGGGGAUGGGCUCGCGGCCUAUCAGCUUGUUGGUGAGGUAAUGGCUCACCAAGGCGUCGACGGGUAGCCGGCCUGAGAGGGUGACCGGCCACACUGGGACUGAGACACGGCCCAGACUCCUACGGGAGGCAGCAGUGGGGAAUAUUGCACAAUGGGCGGAAGCCUGAUGCAGCAACGCCGCGUGAGGGAUGACGGCCUUCGGGUUGUAAACCUCUUUUAGCAAGGAAGAAGCGAAAGUGACGGUACUUGCAGAAAAAGCGCCGGCUAACUACGUGCCAGCAGCCGCGGUAAUACGUAGGGCGCAAGCGUUAUCCGGAAUUAUUGGGCGUAAAGAGCUCGUAGGCGGUUUGUCGCGUCUGCUGUGAAAUCCCGAGGCUCAACCUCGGGCCUGCAGUGGGUACGGGCAGACUAGAGUGCGGUAGGGGAGAUUGGAAUUCCUGGUGUAGCGGUGGAAUGCGCAGAUAUCAGGAGGAACACCGAUGGCGAAGGCAGAUCUCUGGGCCGUAACUGACGCUGAGGAGCGAAAGGGUGGGGAGCAAACAGGCUUAGAUACCCUGGUAGUCCACC